AGACCCCUUGAAGACGACAAGGUAGAUAGGGCCAAGGUGUAAGUACAGUAAUGUAUUCAGCUGAUGGUCACUAAUAGGUCGAGGGCUUAUCCAA
rnacentral:rRNA from 1 species